rnacentral:rRNA from 1 species
CCCUUAGAUGUUCUGGGCAGCACGCGCGCUACAAUGGUCUUCGCAAACGGAUGCAUUCUCGAAGGAGAAUGCCAAUCUUGGAAUCUAUGCCUUGGUCGGGACAGUUGCUUGCAAUUUUUCGACUCGAACCAGGAAUUCCUUGUAAUCGUGAUUCAUCACAUCACGAUGAAUACGUCCCUGCCCGUUGUACACACCGCCCGUCGCUCCUACCGAUCGAAGAGUUAGGUGAAUUGUUUUGAUCGAUAAGAUUUGACUAUGGUCAACUCUCGUUGUGAAAUUCUGUGAAGCUGACUGUUUAGAGGAAGGAAAAGUCGUAACA